rnacentral:rRNA from 1 species
CCUACGGGAGGCUGCAGUCGAGAAUCAUUCACAAUGGGGGAAACCCUGAUGGUGCGACGCCGCGUGGGGGAAUGAAGGUCUUCGGAUUGUAAACCCCUGUCAUGUGGGAGCAAAUUAAAACGAUAGUACAACAAGAGGAAGAGACGACUAACUCUGUGCCAGCAGCCGCGGUAAUACAGUGGGCUCAAGCGUUGUUCGGAAUCACUGGGCGUAAAGCGUGCGUAGGCUGUUUCGUAAGUCGUGUGUGAAAGGCGCGGGCUCAACCCGCGGACGGCACAUGAUACUGCGGGACUAGAGUAAUGGAGGGGGAAGCGGAAUUCGCGGUGUAGCAGUGAAAUGCGUAGAUAUCGAGAGGAACACUCGUGGCGAAGGCGGGUUCCUGGACAUUAACUGACGCUGAGGCACGAAGGCCAGGGGAGCGAAAGGGAUUAGAUACCCUUGUAGUC